GGAGUCUGGACCGUUUCUCAGUUCCAAUGUGACCGUUCAUCCUCUCAGACCGGUUACCGAUCGUCGGCUUGGUGAGCCCUUACCUCACCAACUACCUAAUCGGACGCAAACCCCUCGCAAAGCGAUAAAUCUUUAAUACAAUCAUCAUGCGAUAAUUAUACAACAUUCGGUAUUAGCAACCCUUUCGAGCUGUUGUCCCCAUCUUUGCGGCAGGUUAUUUACGUGUUACUCACCCGUUUGCCACUGGGACCGAAGUCCCCGUUCGACUUGCAUGUGUUAAGCACGCCGCCAGCGUUCGUC
rnacentral:rRNA from 1 species